rnacentral:rRNA from 1 species
UACGAAGGGGGCUAGCGUUGCUCGGAAUCACUGGGCGUAAAGCGCACGUAGGCGGAUUCUUAAGUCAGGGGUGAAAUCCUGGAGCUCAACUCCAGAACUGCCUUUGAUACUGAGGGUCUUGAGUUCGGGAGAGGUGAGUGGAACUGCGAAUGUAGAGGUGAAAUUCGUAGAUAUUCGCAAGAACACCAGUGGCGAAGGCGGCUCACUGGCCCGAUACUGACGCUGAGGUGCGAAAGCGUGGGGAGCAAACAGG